AUUGAACGCUGGCGGCAUGCCUUACACAUGCAAGUCGAACGGUAACAGGUCUUCGGAUGCUGACGAGUGGCGAACGGGUGAGUAAUACAUCGGAACGUGCCCAGACGUGGGGGAUAACGAGGCGAAAGCUUUGCUAAUACCGCAUACGAUCUAAGAAUGAAAGCAGGGGACCGCAAGGCCUUGCGCGUUUGGAGCGGCCGAUGGCAGAUUAGGUAGUUGGUGGGAUAAAAGCUUACCAAGCCGACGAUCUGUAGCUGGUCUGAGAGGACGACCAGCCACACUGGGACUGAGACACGGCCCAGACUCCUACGGGAGGCAGCAGUGGGGAAUUUUGGACAAUGGGCGAAAGCCUGAUCCAGCAAUGCCGCGUGCAGGAUGAAGGCCUUCGGGUUGUAAACUGCUUUUGUACGGAACGAAAAGGCUCUGGCUAAUACCUGGGGCACAUGACGGUACCGUAAGAAUAAGCACCGGCUAACUACGUG
rnacentral:rRNA from 1 species